ACAAGUAAUCCUCGUGUGUGACAGAGAGAGAGAGAGAGAGAGAGAGAGAGAGAGAGAGAGAAACGAGCUGGCGGAGAGGAGCAGAAGGCAGGAGGGGAAAUCUGGCACAACGGCUGGGAGAGGAAACUUGAUGCUUCUGGGCCACCAUUUGCCAGGGCCUCGCUCGAGAUGAGACUGCAAAGAAGCAUAAAAUGAAUAGACAAUCCAACCAACCAAAGGAAAUUGCUUUGGAGAUGAGGAAACAAACUCUUAUGGAGACCUAAGAGACUGAAGACAUCUGGCGUGGACUACUCUGAUGGUAAAAUUGAAAGUACACCUAAAUUUGCUUUGUUACAGGAUUCUCUUCAGAGGACAAGAGAAGAUGUUACAUUCUCUGCAUGAGGACAAUUCUGCAGCAUCAAAAUCGAAUAAUAUUUGUUUUCUGGCAGCAGAAUUUUGUAUCAUAUUUCUAAAGACAGUAAGCACUUGGGUGGACGUCAAUGAAUACUAAACACUAAUUGAUCUGAUACAGCCGUAUGCACAUACACAGAU
rnacentral:lncRNA from 10 species